rnacentral:rRNA from 1 species
CGGAGGGUGCAAGCGUUAUCCGGAUUUAUUGGGUUUAAAGGGUGCGUAGGCGGCCUGUUAAGUCAGGGGUGAAAGUCGGCAGCUCAACUGUCGAAUUGCCUUUGAUACUGGCAGGCUUGAAUCAAGUUGAAGAGGGCGGAAUGUGACAUGUAGCGGUGAAAUGCUUAGAUAUGUCCCAGAACACCGAUUGCGAAGGCAGCUCUCUAAGCUUGUAUUGACGCUGAUGCACGAAAGCGUGGGAUCAAACAGGAUU